AUCCAUCAAUUAUAUUUGAGGGUUCAUCAGUAUUUUGUGAUUUCUUCAUAGAGCUGCAUGUAUUUGGGCACAUUUCUGUAUCGACGCACUGGAUGUGAGUGAACGAUUGAAGGAAGAUUCGUCUUUGACAACGACUAUGUCGAGUUACAGCAACACAAUAAGUGUGUAGAAGUUUAGAGACAUGAUUGACACUGUGGGAGACGGAAACGGACAUUAAGUGAGAAAGACACAAGAUGGCUGCGGCUCGUGAAUAACAGCGAAGCAAACGGAUUCUCAAAGUGUGUCAUUAUGAACGCGGCUUGAACGUGCACGCGCCAAUUACACUGACGACCGUUACGAUUUAAAAAUCAAAGCCAUAUUCGUGACAAAAUACAAAUGUUGAGUCUUUAUAAGAGUAAAACUACCGGAAGCAGUAAUUGAUCUACAGACGGAAGCGCGCGUGCCGUGUUGACCUCGUGCGCAUCUUCCGCUGCAGAAAAAUCAGUAUUUCGCUACAAAA